CCGGCCAGAGCCGAGCGCAGUGGCAGACGCGGGUGCGGGGGUUCUUUUAGGGGCGCCGGUUUCGGGGGACGCGGCUCUCCAAGGUCUGGAAAUGCUCAGGGCGGAGGGGGAGACAUCGGGAGGCCUGGGACCUGCAGAAGCCUGAGAAAGUGAAGUUGGUGCCAAGGAGCGUGCGUUCUUUGUUUCUUCUUUUUUCCUUCGGAGCCCAGCUUGUAAAGAGUAGAAGAACCGGACAUUGGUGGAGGAAUUCAAACAAGAGAGCCCGGAGGCGUCCUCUGCUGUGGCCCAGAGCUAGCGCCUACUCCACGAAGCUCAGCUGGGGUUAACAGGCUUCUGUUAAAAUUUCCCGGGCACUGGGAAAAUUUCAGGUGCCUUCGCCUCGGUGGACUCCUUUCCCUGCUAACAAAAUUAUUAAAAAUAAGAUUUUGCAACUGCGUUGGCAUAAGGAAAAGUAUAUUAAUAUUGCAUAUUAAAACAUGUUCUUCAGC
rnacentral:lncRNA from 10 species